GCGGGGGCGCGGGAGGGGGGCAGCUCUCGCGAGAGUCGGCGCGGGAGUACGGCCCCCGCGUGGUCACGUGCGAGGGAGGGGAGCGGGCGACGCGGCCGCCAUGAUACCUGGAGUGGCGGAAGUGCGCUGUUUGGGGUGUCUCGGUGGUAGUGGCACAUGGCGGGGACUCUGGAAUCUACCUACCCACAUGAAGUGCACAUGGGAUGCAUGGUCAGCUACAACACGGGAGUCAACACAAAAAUUACUGAGUUUUCUUUUCUACUGGGCGAAACAUCUGAUGUGCAGUGUGCAUUUCUCUAGCAAGUGA
rnacentral:lncRNA from 1 species